AUGGGGCAUCACAGCAAGUCACUGGAAAUAGCUGCCCUGAUUGUAAUGGAGCAGGAGACUCCUGCAAGCCAUACUUGUGCAGACGUUGGAGGGAUGUGUGAAGUUGCACCCAACCAGGCUGUCUUCUCCUGGACAUGUGUUCAGAUGAACCAGCUGAAUGAAUCCAGAUGUUUGCUUUCUGUCUGUAGGAAGAGAUCUGAGGAUAUCCAAAGGGGAACUCAUUUCAAAGGAAGAAAUGGAUCUCUGAGAGAAAGAUCUGGAAGCCUGAAAAGGCCAAAUGUAAUUUUGGACACUGUGUAUUUGAAAUGUAAUAAAUAGGGGCAGAGCUUGGUGGAAUAGCCUGGUCUGACACACCAAGAAGAGAAGAACUUUGAAAUGCAGUGAGGAUGAGAGAGAACUUUGAGGCACAGCUGAAGGGGAGGGCACUCAGUGAAUGGGCAGCGUUUGUUUCUCUUUAUUUGUCACCAAAGAUCAGCUUUCUUCAACGGUAGGUCAGAAGUUUUUAAAAACUCUUUGAACUUGUCUGUCUAUUGCAUGAGAGUAAACCAGAGUUAAUACCACUAGAAUGAGCACAGAGAGCUGGGAGAUGAAGUGAGGUGAAGGAGGUUAGGGCUGGGCCUGAAACACCAGCAAAAUGUAGUUGGCCAGCACCUGGAACUUAGCUGUAAGAUGUUUCACUAGGUUUUCAGGUGUAUCAGAUCAGAAAAAGAAUCAAGUACUGGUGUUAGGGAUCACUCAUUUACCCAUUUUCAUUUGCCAAGUCUGCUUUCUUGGAUUUCUUUGAUUAACGCUGCUGUUGCAGCAUUGCGGUUCUUGUCACAGGCUGGUUUACUCCUCUGGUGUCUCUUCAUGACUGCCAUGGAUGGGAAUGGGACCUUUUUGGAAGUCCUUAGACCUGCUCAGCCAUCUGAACAGGUGAAGAGACUGCUGUGACUGCUUUGUCUGCCAGCAUCUGACCUCUCUUGGAAGUCUGCCCUUCUCUAAGGGAUUCAAUAGAUGUUAAGUUCUUUGAAAUCUGUUGCUGAUUUGAUGGUUUUGAACACUUUGAGAAUAUGACUCUUAGCUCAUUCAAUAGUCUGACUCCAUAUUUCACUUUUGGAUAUAGUUCAGAGUGAUGGUUAUUAACCUUGAAUAGCUUUUUGGUCUCCAAGUUCAAGCAGUAUUGGGUGUUGGAGGUCUGGUCUGGAUCCUGUUUUUUGCUUUGUUAUCAACUUGUGCAGGCGAGUCAUCUCUUUUUCUCUGCUGUCAAUUGACCCGUGAGCUGGGGAAUGUGCCUGUGUCCAGCUUGUACAUUAGGUUUGUUAUUUUGCUGUGUCCA
rnacentral:lncRNA from 1 species